GCCGGAGUGGCGAAAUCGGUAGACGCAGGGGACUUAAAAUCCCCCGCCGCGCAAGCGGCAUGCUGGUUCGAAUCCAGCCUCCGGCA
rnacentral:tRNA from 1 species